GAAUGUGAGGAGGAUCUAGCAGCAAUAUCUGUCACUGCCCGGGUCAACAGGGUUGAUUCAACUGACCUAAGUACUGUGCCCUUCCUCCCUCAUCACUCCGUGUGUCCCUCCCAAAGCUGGGUGCUGAGCCAGAGGAAACCUCCCACCUUUCCUAAUAGAAGAUGACUGUUCUUUCAACCAAAGGUGUACAAGCACCUACACCUCCUUGCUAGAUUUUCCAAACAAGCUCUCAAGAUCCUAAGCUCAGCAGGGAGUCCCAGCUACGAUCAGACCUCUGCGAGGAGUCUCCCCGU
rnacentral:snRNA from 1 species